GAUGAACGCUAGCUACAGGCUUAACACAUGCAAGUCGAGCGGAGAUAUAUCGGAGAUUCUUCGGAUGAUCUUUUAUAUCUUAGCGGCGGAUGGGUGAGUAACACGUGGGUAACCUGCCCUUCACUGGGGGAUAACAGUUGGAAACGACUGUUAAUACCGCAUAUGCGCACGGGACCGCAUGGUCCCGGGCGGAAAGAUUUAUCGGUGGAGGAUGGGCCCGCGUCGGAUUAACUUGUUGGUGAGGUAACGGCCCACCAAGGUGAUGAUCCGUAGCCGACCUGAGAGGGUGACCGGCCACAUUGGGACUGAGACACGGCCCAAACUCC
rnacentral:rRNA from 1 species